rnacentral:rRNA from 1 species
AUUGAACGCUGGCGGCAUGCCUUACACAUGCAAGUCGAACGGCAGCACGGGAGCUUGCUCCUGGUGGCGAGUGGCGAACGGGUGAGUAAUGCAUCGGAACGUGCCCUGAAGUGGGGGAUAACGUAGCGAAAGUUACGCUAAUACCGCAUAUUCUGUGAGCAGGAAAGCAGGGGAUCUUCGGACCUUGCGCUUUUGGAGCGGCCGAUGUCGGAUUAGCUAGUUGGUGGGGUAAAGGCCCACCAAGGCGACGAUCCGUAGCGGGUCUGAGAGGAUGAUCCGCCACACUGGGACUGAGACACGGCCCAGACUCCUACGGGAGGCAGCAGUGGGGAAUUUUGGACAGUGGGCGCAAGCCUGAUCCAGCCAUGCCGCGUGCAGGAUGAAGGCCUCGGUUGUAACUGCUUUGUACGGUACGAAAAAGACUACUCUCUAAUACAGGGGUGAAUGACGGUACCGUAAGGAAUAAG